rnacentral:rRNA from 1 species
AGUGAGCGCUGGCGGUAGGCCUAACACAUGCAAGUCGAACGGCAGCACAGUAAGAGCUUGCUCUUACGGGUGGCGAGUGGCGGACGGGUGAGGAAUACAUCGGAAUCUACUUUUUCGUGGGGGAUAACGUAGGGAAACUUACGCUAAUAACGCAUACGACCUACGGGUGAAAGCAGGGGAUCUUCGGACCUUGCGCGAUUGAAUGAGCCGAUGUCGGAUUAGCUAGUUGGCGGGGUAAAGGCCUACCAAGGCGACGAUCCGUAGCUGGUCUGAGAGGAUGAUCAGCCACACUGGAACUGAGACACGGUCCAGACUCCUACGGGAGGCAGCAGUGGGGAAUAUUGGACAAAGGGCGCAAGCCUGAUCCAGCCAUACCGCGUGGGUGAAGAAGGCCUUCGGGUUGUAAAGCCCUUUUGUUGGGAAAGAAAAGCAGCAGGUUAAUACCCCGCUGUUCUGACGGUACCCAAAGAAUAAGCACCGGCUAACUUCGUG